UGAGAUUUCACCAAACACCCAACCCAAUGGUUCAGAAAAGAGAAGAAGAAACGAGGCAAACAUGGUCGCGUUUUCACCGCCUGCGAGCGACUGCAACAUCAACUCAGCCGUUCACGGCGUCGCGCAAUUCUCAGAUCUCACGCCGUGCGAGUUUCGGAGCAGAUGCCGGCGAACGAAGCGACAUCCACCCUACUGUUUUAGUUUCGGAGCAGAUGCCGGCAACGAACGACGAUCCACCCUACUGUUUUGCACUACGUCGAUGAGGAGAUGGCGGGCGUUGCCGUUCACCGCUGCUAUUGACGGCGAGGGGGAUGUGAAUCGUCGUGGAAAAUCCGUCGAAUGGGGAGAAGGGAUGAGGGAGGCGGCUGAGGGAUUUGAAAGAGAGAGAGAGAGAGAGAGAGAUUAAAAUGGGGGAGUAAAUUUCGCCCCAUCCGUUUUU
rnacentral:lncRNA from 1 species